GGAAUAUAAAAAUCCGUCUCUUAAUUUUUAACUAAAAAAGUUAAGAACCGGUUCUUAAAUCUCUUAUUUAAGAGCCGGUUCUUAGUUUUUUUACUUAAAAGUUAAGAGACGGAUUCUUAUAUUCU
rfam:Brassica napus, WGS project CCCW01000000 data, contig: 1115